UACGGGGGGGGCAAGCGUUGUUCGGAAUUACUGGGCGUAAAGCGCGUGCAGGCGGUUAUCCCAGUUGGACGUGAAAGCCUUGAGCUCAACUCAAGAAAUGCAUUCAGGACUGGGUGACUAGAGGACCGGAGAGGAUAGUGGAAUUCCCAGUGUAGCGGUGAAAUGCGCAGAUAUCGGGAGGAACACCGGUGGCGAAGGCGGUUCUCUGGGCCUGACCUGACGCUGAGGAGCGAAAGCGUGGGGAGCGAACAGG
rnacentral:rRNA from 1 species